rnacentral:rRNA from 1 species
UAGUCAAAUUCCGAUAGUCGAUUGCACAAGUCGUGAAAAGUCUAUAAAGCCUUGUAAAGAGUCCAAUCCUGAAUUGGAAAGAGCUGAAUACCCUUGCCGACUCACCUGGCUCUGCUAGUAUUUCUCCAGUAACAAGUCAUCUUGUUUGCGCCGAGAUGUUCCAGAAGUGCACCCUCGUGUGUUAUAGCCCUGACUGAUUACGCGCGCGACCCAAGAACGCAGUGUGCCUCGUGGCGGUCUUUGACACCUUCACACUUAAGAAUGCUGGCGAAAAGCUUUUGUGCAUUUCCCAAAUAGCGGAGGAAAAGAAACUAAAAAUUCCSYUARUAACGGCGAGCGAAGCGGGAAGAGCUCAAAUUUGAAAGCUGGCACCUCCGGUGUCCGCGUUGUAAUUUCGAGACGUGUUUUCCGCGUGGCGCCAUGGACAAGUUCCCUGGAAUGGGACAUCGUAGAGGGUGAAAAUCCCGUACUUGCCAUGGACGUACCAUGCUUUGCGAUACACGCUCCAAGAGUCGAGUAGUUUGGGAUUGCUGCUCAAAAUGGGUGGUAGACUCCAUCUAAAGCUAAAUAUCGGGGAGAGACCGAUAGCGAACAAGUACCGUGAGGGAAAGAUGAAAAGCACUUUGGAAAGAGAGUUAAAAGUACGUGAAAUUGUCGAAAUGGAAGCGCUUGAAGUCAGCCAUGCGGCUGGGGACUCACCUUGGCGUCUCGCUGAGGGUAUUUCUCCAGUAGCAAGUCAGCAUUGGUUUGCGGCGCCGGAGAAGGGUCCAGGGAAGGUGGCACCCUCGGGUGUGUUAUAGCCCUGGACUGGAUACGGCGCGGCGGACCAAGGAACGCAGUGUGCCCUCGUGGCGGGUCUUUGGACACCUUCACACUUAGGAUGCUGSSGCUGGCUUUAAGCGGCCCGUCUUGAAAACACGGACCAAUAAAGGCCUUACGCCGGCAUCCUAAGUGUGAAGGUGUCAAAGACCCGCCACGAGGGCACACUGCGUUUCUUGGGUCGCGCGCGUAUCCGUUCAGGGCUAUAACACACCGAGGGUGCACUUCCUGGGACCUUUCUCGGCGGCGCAACAAUGCUGACUUGCUACUGGGAGAAAAUAACUUCAGCGAGACGCAAGGGUGGAGUUCCGACGCAGGGUGACUUCAGGCCUCCAUUUCACAAUUCAUACGUUACUCUUUUCAAAGGGACUUUUCGUCGUCUCAGGGACUGUUGCUAUUCGGGUCUUCGGGCAAUAU